CGUUUCCUCCCAACAUAUAUAUUGGGAUGGAUUCUUCUAUUUGAGUUACAUCCUCAUUAGGACGUGUCUUGAUUCAGUCUGUCUUUUCGGAUUGAUCCCGAAUUGGCUAUUUGUCAACUGUCUUGUGCUUCCCAGUGGGUUGUUCCCCAGCGGAGUUUUUCGGGCCUCUACCCUUAUACCGGUAGUUGUAAGUCCUAUUU
rnacentral:lncRNA from 1 species